UACGAAGGGGGCUAGCGUUGCUCGGAAUUACUGGGCGUAAAGGGAGCGUAGGCGGACAUUUAAGUCAGAGGUGAAAUCCCGGAGCUUAACUUCGGAACUGCCUUUGAUACUGGGUGUCUUGAGUGUGAGAGAGGUAUGUGGAACUCCGAGUGUAGAGGUGAAAUUCGUAGAUAUUCGGAAGAACACCAGUGGCGAAGGCGACAUACUGGCUCAUUACUGACGCUGGAGGCUCG
rnacentral:rRNA from 1 species